rnacentral:rRNA from 1 species
CUGAGGGAAACUUCAGCUAAUACCGUAUGUGCCCUUCGGGGGAAAGAUUUAUCGCCUUAGGAGCGGCCCGCGUUGGAUUAGCUAGUUGGUGGGGUAAAGGCCCACCAAGGCUACGAUCCAUAGCUGGUCUGAGAGGAUGAUCAGCCACACUGGGACUGAGACACGGCCCAGACUCCUACGGGAGGCAGCAGUAGGGAAUCUUGCGCAAUGGGCGAAAGCCUGACGCAGCCAUGCCGCGUGAAUGAUGAAGGUCUUAGGAUUGUAAAAUUCUUUCACCGGGGAAGAUAAUGACGGUACCCGGAGAAGAAGCCCCGGCUAACUUCGUGCCAGCAGCCGCGGUAAUACGAAGGGGGCUAGCGUUGCUCGGAAU